UACGGAGGGGGCUAGCGUUGUUCGGAAUUACUGGGCGUAAAGCGCACGUAGGCGGCUUUGUAAGUUAGAGGUGAAAGCCCGGGGCUUAACCCCGGAAUAGCCUUUAAGACUGCAUCGCUUGAACACGGGAGAGGUGAGUGGAAUUCCGAGUGUAGAGGUGAAAUUCGUAGAUAUUCGGAAGGACACCAGUGGCGAAGGCGGCUCACUGGACCGUUACCGACGCUCAGGCGCGACAGCGUGGGGAGCAAACAGG
rnacentral:rRNA from 1 species